rnacentral:rRNA from 1 species
UGGGGAAUAUUGCACAAUGGGCGCAAGCCUGAUGCAGCCAUGCCGCGUGUAUGAAGAAGGCCUUCGGGUUGUAAAGUACUUUCAGUCGGGAGGAAGGUGGUAAGGUUAAUAACCUUAUCAAUUGACGUUACCGACAGAAGAAGCACCGGCUAACUCCGUGCCAGCAGCCGCGGUAAUACGGAGGGUGCAAGCGUUCAUCGGAAUUACUGGGCGUAAAGCGCACGCAGGCGGGUGAUUGAGUCAGAUGUGAAAUACCCGGGCUUAACCCGGGAAGUGCAUCUGAGACUGGGCAGCUAGAGUCUUGUAGAGGGGGGUAGAAUUACAUGUGUAGCGGUGAAAUGCGUAGAGAUCUGGAGGAAGACCGGUGGCGAAGGCGGCCCCCUGGACAAAGACUGACGCUCGGGUGGGAAAGCGUGGGGGGCAAACAGG